rnacentral:rRNA from 1 species
CAAUAGCGUAUAUUAAAUUUGUUGCAGUUAAAAACGCUCGUAGUUAGUUUUUAAUUCAUUACAGAUGUUUCGCUACUUAGCGAUUACAUCAUAAAUGAUUUAGUGAUGGACUUGGUUUUCGGACCUAUGUUUAUUACUUUCACUAUAAUAAAAUAAUAGUGUUCAUUGCAAUAUUACAAUGAAUUCUAUAGUGUAGUAUGCAAAUGUAUAGCUUAACUUUGGGUUUAGUUCAAAACUGAAGUUGAGCAAUAUUAUUAUAAAAACUGUUUAAGGUAUAUAUAAUCAACUGUUAGAGGUGAAAUUCUUAGAUCAGUUGAUGAUAUCCUAAUGCGAAAGCAUUCACCUAUGAAGUUUUUCUUAAUAAAGAACGAAAGUUAAGGGA